rnacentral:sRNA from 1 species
UAAUGGCUGCCAACCUUCCUCUUUGAGC